GGGUUAUAGCUCAGUGGCAGAGCAUUCGUCUGCAGAUCGAGAGGUCCCCACUACAAAUCUGGGUGCACCCU
rnacentral:tRNA from 1 species